rnacentral:tRNA from 1 species
GAGGCUGUGGCUCAGAGGUAGAGCGCUCACCUAGCACGUUCGAGGGCCUGGGUUUGAUCCUCAGCACCACA